rnacentral:rRNA from 1 species
UGGGGAAUCUUGCACAAUGGGGGAAACCCUGAUGCGGCGACGCCGCGUGAGCGAUGAAGCCCUUCGGGGUGUAAAGCUCUUUCGACGGGAACGAUAAUGACGGUACCCGAAGAAGAAGCUGCGGCUAACUACGUGCCAGCAGCCGCGGUAAUACGUAGGCAGCAAGCGUUGUUCGGAAUUACUGGGCGUAAAGAGUGUGUAGGCGGUGUUCUAAGUCUGUUGUGAAAUCUCCCGGCUCAACUGGGAGGGUGCGGCGGAGACUGGAAUGCUAGAGUAUGGGAGAGGUAAGCGGAAUUCCUGGUGUAGCGGUGAAAUGCGUAGAUAUCAGGAGGAACACCUGUGGUGUAGACAGCUUACUGGACCAUGACUGACGCUGAGACACGAAAGCGUGGGUAGCAAACAGGAUUAGAUACCCUGGUAGUCCACGCCCUAAACGAUGCAUACUUGGUGUGAGCCAUUCAUUUGGUUCGUGCCGGAGCUAACGCGUUAAGUAUGCCGCCUGGGGAGUACGGUCGCAAGGC